rnacentral:lncRNA from 1 species
GGAAAUCACCUGGUUCGGAAAUCACCUGGCUCUGAAAGUUACCUUCAGACUCUGAAAGUUACCUUCAGAGUUAGGCGUUUUUUUGUUGUUGUUUGUUUUGUUUUGUUUUCUUUUUUGAAAGUGAGUCGAUUUAACUCCAUGAAAGUAUAGAACAUACUUCAUAGAUUGAGACAGAAACGUGCAGAGCAGGGUGGCUAUCGUGGCAGUGCCAGGGGGUGGCUUUGGUGGAUUUACCUUCUCUUCGAUCUCCGAUCUCCGAGAGCCUUGUAAAGGCAUGCAAACAAAAACAAGAAGUAGAAAUCGGUUGCCUGACGAGCAAAACCGCUGCAUCAAGAUAGUCUCCUUCUUCCCACCCCACACCCCUCAGCAGAUUGCCACCUUUACGCCCGGAGGCGUUUAAUAGCAAUUUUGGUGCUGCCACGGUGUGUAUAAUGUGGCAUAAUUGGUUUAAAAC